CCAUGGCGCGUUGUAGACUAAAGGGGUGUUUAUCUUGCGUGGGCCGGGUAUAGAUCCGUUGGAACACGGUAUCAUAGAGGGUGAGAAUCCCGUCUUUGACUCGGUCAUGUCACCAUGCAUAUACGUUACGCUUCCAAAGAGUCGGGUUGUUUGGGAAUGCAGCCCAAAAUGGGUGGUAAAUUUCAUCUAAGGCUAAAUAUUGGCACGAGACCGAUAGCGAACAAGUACCAUGAGGGAAAGAUGAAAAGAACUUUGAAAAGAGAGUCAAAAAGUACGUGAAACCGUUAAAGGGGAAACGAAUGGAGCUAGCAUUUGCGGCUGCCACAAUCAGUCAGACGGACUGUGGGGGGCUCUUGUGCCAAGGUUUACGGAGGCUCUUUUAACGGAGCUUCUGGCCUUGGCAUGGGUUCCUUUUCCCAUGGAGCGGCUGGUGCACUUGUGGCAAUUGUCGCAGGCCAACAUCAGUUUUUCGCAGUACACAAACUUCAGGGGAAGGUAGUUGCGGCGCCUCGGUGUCGUAAUGUUGUAACCCUUGUCGUGACAAUGUGCUGGGGGAGACUGAGGAGUACCAGUGCGCAAAAAUUUCGGAGAGCUACCGCUGGGGUUGCGGGUGUGGAAGGACUGAUCACGUGUCUUUUAAUUAAGCGCGUGGGCAGUUGUCUAUGCCGCUAAUCUGGAGGGGCCAGUCCAGGGUGAGCAAUCGCUCUGGAAGGGUGCCGUCAGAAAUGUGCAGCCUGACACGGGGUGUACCCAGACAACGCGCUUGUGAUGUUGGCGAAAAAUGGCUUCAUCCGACCCGUCUUGAAACACGGACCAAGGAGUCUAACAUAUACGCGAGUCUUUGGGUUGAAAGCCCGCAGGCGAAAUGAAAGUGAAGGCAUACUUGGUGUGCUGAGGUGAGACGUCUUGUGCUUAUUUUCUCCUCGUCAAAAGGGAGGGAGAGGGGCAGGACCGCAUCAUCGACCGAUCCGGAUGGUUCUAUCCUGAAAGAUUUGAGUAAGAGCGUAUCUGUUGGGACCCGAAAGAUGGUGAACUAUGCCUGAACAGGGUGAAGUCUGAGGAAACUCAGAUGGAAGCUCGUAGCGAUUCUGACGUGCAAAUCGAUCGUCUGAUUUGGGUAUAGGGGCGAAAGACUAAUCGAACUAUCUAGUAGCUGGUUCCCUCCGAAGUUUCCCUCAGGAUAGCUGGAACUAAAACAACGCAGUUUUAUCAGGUAAAGCGAAUGAUUAGAGGCCUUGGGGUUGAAAUAACCUCAACCUAUUCUCAAACUUUAAAUAGGUAAGAAGCCUGGCUUGCUUAAUUGAAGCCAGGCAACACUGAAUGCAAGUUCCAAGUGGGCCAUUUUUGGUAAGCAGAACUGGCGAUGCGGGAUGAACCGAACGCAAAGUUAAAGUGCCAAAGUUCACGCUCACCUAGAACCCAGAAAAGGUGUUGGCUGAUGAAGACAGCAGGACGGUGGCCAUGGAAGUCGGAACCCGCUAAGGAGUGUGUAACAACUCACCUGCCGAAUCAGCCAGCCCUGAAAAUGGAUGGCGCUCAAGCGUGACACUCAUACUUUGCCGUUGCUUUUAUAUUUUUUAUAACAA
rnacentral:rRNA from 1 species